GUUGGGAGGAAAGCAAAAAAAACAAAUCAAAUUCUGAUCAUUUCUCAUCUAAAACAUGGGGGCAUUUUUGACCAAAAAAAUAAUUAAAUGUCAUUAAAAUGUGAAAUAAAUAAUGCAGUAAUAUGAUUAUUUGGUUGGUUUUCCUUUGCUGAAUUUAUUUGUAUUUAAACAUUUCAGGAUGCGCUGCAAUAAGGUAAUCAUGAAAUAAUUAACUCUUUAUUUAGUUAAGUGAUUUACCAUUUCCAACCACUUACACAUUCAUGCAUGUAAUAAAUGUAUUUAAUUUCUUGAUCACAAAAACCAUCCAGGCUACAGUGCAACACUUUGCAAAUCAAAUCAGCAAACUGUCAUUGAAGGAAAAGAACCAUUAAAAAGUAAUAAUAAUAAUAAAAAAAAAUCACCAUUUGUAGUUGAGGUCAACUCCAGCCCUCUUACACAGUUUGGUGAAAAAUCAGUUUAUUUUUGUUUAUUCCAGCCAAAAAUCUAACAAAAACACACACAUAGGCAACAACAUAACCUCUGUGGAGGAGGUUAAACAACAACAGUGACUGGCUCCAAUCUCAUUUGUCACACGAAAAGUGGUGUAAAAUAAUGUGUUCAACGUGAGGCGUUCACCAGUACAGUAUGUCACCAGCAGUAUACAGCGUUCCCUCUGUGGACGGGGAGUUUUUAAAUCAGUCUACAGGACAUUCACAACAGGACAUAAAUAAUUAGCCAUCAGUUUAAUUUUUUUUAUGAUAUUGAUAAAAUCUCUUCUUCACACAAUGCUGUGGAGCAUUUAUGGGAAAAAAAAAUGCAUUAAAAAGUUCAUAAAACCUAUCGGCUCAUUACUGCCAUCUUACCGUCAAGUUAGUCUGAGCACUGCUCAUCUAAAAACAGUUCAUAAAUUCUAAAUAUCACUGAAAAUAAAACAUCAC